rnacentral:rRNA from 1 species
AGCGAACGCUGGCGGCAGGCUUAACACAUGCCAGUCGAGCGGGCAUCCUUGUGGUGUCAGCGGCAGACGGGUGCGUAACGCGUGGGAACGUGCCCUUCGGUUCGGUAUAUCUCUGGGAAACUUAAGCUAAUACCGGAUACGUGCGAGUGCAGCAAGGUUUCUCUGCCGAAGGAUCGGCCCGCGUCUGAUUUGCUAGUUGGUGAGGUUAUGGCUCACCAAGGCCACGAUCAGUAGAUUGUCUGAGAGAAUGGUCAGACACACUGGGACUGAGACACGGCGCAGACUCUUACGGGAGGCAGGAGUGGGGAAUAUUGGACAAUGGGGGCAACGCUGAUCCAGCCAGGCCGGGUGAGUGAUGACGGCCUUAGGGUUGUAAAGCUCUUUUCUCCGGGACGAUAAUGACGGUACCGGAGGAAUAAGCCCCGGCUAACUUCGUG